rnacentral:lncRNA from 1 species
AUGUCCUCAGGGAUUUCGAAAUCCUUCAAUACGUCCUUGGUCUCGUCCGGGUUGAACCAGGAGAGGUAUCUGCGAUUCGAACAGAUACCUAAGCGCACACGUCUUCCCACGUGUUGUUAUUCACCACCGCGGACUUCACCGCCUGCUCGAUCUUGUAGAUCUGAGAAGAAAGAAGAUAUACACAAGAUUGAAGCUGUUGAGUUACAAACGGCUCGUGCGUUCAGCUCACAGAUUUCAGUGCAAGGAAAAUCUGAUGAGUCGUAAAUACGUUUCAAAGAAUGAUCAUGCGUAAAGUAGAAAAGAACCUUCGCAGAUACUCGUAUAAUUCAUGAUCGCCUAUGUACCGAGCGCAGCACUUCGGGUUCCAGAACAUUCGGCGCCGUGACGAUGAUACAUUCGUAUCGGAAAUCGUCCCGGAAGUGUUUCUUCACCCAGGCUGCAUCGAAGAACAGUCCCGAGCCGCAGAUACAGUUUAGGCAGAAGGAUACCAACAGCCAGAGCCACGGUCUUUUGCCAAUACUCAGGCCAAUGCUGAAAAUAAUGCUGAAUUUGGCGACUGUACUCCGCAUUUGAGCAUUAUCGAGAAUGGAUUUGGAAUCGAGGAGCUGAAUCAUGAGAAUGAAGUCAUUCGAGAAGCAAUCUUCCACAAACUUUCAUGUCGCUACGUUAGCGUUAAAGGAUAUCCUUGGCUAGCAAAACGCUGGAUCAGCAUUGCUGUUAUACAAAUCAUCUAUGAUUGGCCUCAUAAAUUUAAUAUAAUUCAAAGAAUACAAAGAGCAAGAAAGUUAGAUUGUAUUAAACGUACUCCAUUGAUUUCUUAAAAAUAUUAUAAAGCAUAUCAAGCAGAAUGUGUUGCCCCUGAGAAAUCUCAGUGGUACCCGCGUCAGAGAACAUGUUAGAUGAAUGAGGUUCUACUAUAUCUAACAGUGUAAUCAUAUCGUUAAUAAUUGUCAUUAUAACGCUUUAUUCUGCACGUGGCCAUUUUCACUGUGUCAAUCGAGUUAAAUGAGACUGAUUUGAUCUUCAAAGGAAUCGUCACACGUUGAACAUGAUUCUAAGCAUCGAUCGAUCUUCCAGGUUGCGAGUUUCUUCAUCGAGUUACAAUGCAGUUUCAAUUGGAAGGAUAACCGUGGUAUAAUCCUUUAAGUAAUUAAGCAAUUAGAAAGGAAAUGAUCUUUAAAUAAGACGAUGUUAAACUCAAAGGGUGGCGCCAGAGGAAUUGGCUACCCAAUAUAGGCCAAUUCGUGGAACAAAAUGGGCAUUCAGCUAAUUAAGGGGGCUGCGAUGAUCUCACCUUAAGUGGAUCAAAUUAUACAGGGUUCAAGCUCCGAAACUUAACGAGAUUUAUUACAUUUUCGUUAUUCGAUUGAACACCCGGUUAAAGACACCACGAAUGCAACCACGACGUGGUUCUUCAAUUGCAAUUUAAGCGGCGGUCAUUAACGACAAUUAAGAUCGAAUUACCUCAAAGAAGUUUUAUCAAUUGAAUUUACGGGAUGACAUUGCUUUUCCUACGAAAGAUUUCUUUUCAGAAUCAUACACGUCGUGUUUAUCUUUGAAAGGCAACCUUGUCUGUGAUCCGUGUCAAUGUGAAAUGCCAAUAGUGCAGGCGCACCGCGAAAACGGAGAUAAUGCACUUCCGACAGAAGAACGCGAUCAUGCUCAAUUUGCCGACAUCCGAUCUAUUUUUUUCUUUUUGGAGACUGUUUACGUCAAGGAUGUUCUCAUCGAAAAUAGAUCUGACAAUUUGAAUGUUUGGAACGAGGAUACUUCAAUGUCGCUGUCUGUGGAACUACGUGCAGGUCGAGAAGUAUGUCCUUCAGCUGUCUCCACGUGAUCGUCGUGGAUGCGUUUCCUCUUGGUUGCGUUUCCAUCCUUGAGGUGCGAC